UCUCUCCGCCUUGGAAGGUCCACUCAGUCCAUUGUUGGUCGGCUCAUCCGAUUCUAGGAUUCCAGUAACAUUAACAAGAAUGGAGAGUUUAUGGACAUCACCAUUCUCCUCCUUGAUGAACUGGAUUCUGUGAUCCACAGUUUCAUCCCUGCAAUCUCCAAACAAAACAGGAAAACUGAAUGAAUUAUGUUUUUAGCAACCGAAUCUAAAAGAAAUAAAAGACAUCUUACUUAACAAAUUAAAACCUUUUAUUUUGCAGAUUCCGACGACGACGAAGCACCCGAGGACCAACGACAAUGGAAUGCGGACGAAGCCUAACUGAUGUAAGUAAACUUCUCUUCAAUAAUGCAUCACACUAUUAUCGCUCCCCAAUCUCACAAACUUAAGCUCUAAUCAUGUCAGGGAUCCCACAGGUGAUGCUGUCCCGACGACGGAGAAAAAAAGAAGAAAGAUAACCUAACGUUUUUUUUAUUUUUAGUUUUUAAGUUCAAAUCAUGUUUUAGACAUAGAGCCCAACAUAACUUGAGCCCAAAAAUUUUAAACCCACAAUUACUUUUCAUAAUGUAAAAACGUCAAUCUUCGUUUAUGUUUUGUUAAACUAUUUUAAUCUUUAUGUUUUGUUAAACUAUUUCACACAGGGGGCAGAUCUCCUUAGAAGGAGAGCCACUCGCCACGAUGCUUCCAGUUUCACCAUUCUUGAAACUCUUAUGAACCACAAAGCCAAUAUAAGAGCUCUGUUUCAAUCCAACGGCUGGAUUUUGUCACAGACCACCGCUAAGCCUGAAGAGGGAAGAGAAGUGGAGUGCUGCGUUUUGGAAGAUGGUUACUUGGAGUUUACAAGAUGAAGAUGGAACCCGUGACGAAGAAGACGAGGAGAAGUGUUACUUUGAAUAUCCUAACGUUAAGGAUGUAGACAAUGUGUGAUCUUAGCGAUGAAAAUUAGUGUAGCUUUAAUAUAUGCUACUACGGUCCUUGAGCUCCCUAACAAGUACUAGCAAACAAUGUGUAUUUUGAAAAAAUAAAAUAAUUUUGUAAUGCAA